rnacentral:rRNA from 1 species
UGGGGAAUAUUGCACAAUGGGCGCAAGCCUGAUGCAGCCAUGCCGCGUGUGUGAAGAAGGCCUUCGGGUUGUAAAGCACUUUCAGCGAGGAGGAAGGUGGUGAACUUAAUACGUUCAUCAAUUGACGUUACUCGCAGAAGAAGCACCGGCUAACUCCGUGCCAGCAGCCGCGGUAAUACGGAGGGUGCAAGCGUUAAUCGGAAUUACUGGGCGUAAAGCGCACGCAGGCGGUUUGUUAAGUCAGAUGUGAAAUCCCCGGGCUCAACCUGGGAACUGCAUUUGAAACUGGCAAGCUAGAGUCUCGUAGAGGGGGGUAGAAUUCCAGGUGUAGCGGUGAAAUGCGUAGAGAUCUGGAGGAAUACCGGUGGCGAAGGCGGCCCCCUGGACGAAGACUGACGCUCAGGUGCGAAAGCGUGGGGAGCAAACAGGAUUAGAUACCCCUGGUAGUCCAGCGCUGUAAAACGAUGUCGAUUUUGGAGGUUGUGCCCUUGAGGCGUGGCUUCCGGAGCUAACGCGUUAAAUCGACCGCCUGGGGAGUACGGCCGCAAGGUU